CUGGUCCGCGCUCCGGGGCCGUUCCGUGUCCUGGGCCAUUCCCGCACUCCGGGAUUAUUCCCGCGCUCCGGGGCCGUUCCCGUGUCCGGGGCCAUUCCCGCACUCCGAGGUUAUUCCCGCGCUCCGGGGCCAUUCCCGGGUUCCGGGGCCGUUCCCGCCUCACAGGAGCUGCGGCACCCUUCUCCGGGAGCAGCUUUCGGCCCUCCGGAGCGUCCCGGGCGCGACCGCAGCGCCGCAAGUCAGGCGAACGGGAAGGGGAAACUUGCAGCUUCUUGACCACUCUCGAGGCUUUUGUUUGUCUCGUUGUUUUAGAUGCUCGCAGCCGGCACUGGUUUAUUAAAAGCAUUAGAAACGGCAGAACUAAUGAAAUUGCUUCAGUCCGUGACCUCUGACGGCACAAGUUAAAAAAGCUGCUCCGUUCAGCACAGGUCACAGCUAACGACAGCCUUAGGAGAGGAGAAACGUACGAGGGCUUUGGGAUUGCUGUUCAGAGUGUAAAACCAAAAUUGGCUGAGAGCACUGAUUGCCAUCCAGUUACAAUACUUGCAGUAAUUCACUUUCACUCGUUUGAGACUGGGUUUUUUCACAGAGUUUCAUUCCCCCAAAGAGUUUUUUUCAUCACUCUUCUAUUGCUGUUAUUUACUGCUUUAAGCAUGGACUGAUGCAUUUAUCCAGAUCUGUUUUUUGCCUGGGGAAAGAAAAUUUUGGGUCUUGCGUGAUGCCAGGUGUAAGUAUAGCAGCAUAAGAAUUGUGGUAACAGAGGAGGUUUACUUUCCAUCGUGCUUGUUGUUUCCAUGUCUUUAUCUGUGCCAGAUGUGGCCAAGCAAAAAGGAAAUGUAUGCUUAAGCCAAGUAUGAGUAAAACUUGUAUGGUAUGUUUUUGAGAGCCAAGACCAAUGGAAAGUGGUACUUCUCUCAUGUCUGAAGUUCAUGUAUUGAGAGUAGUUAGUUAAAGAUGACUGAAUUUUGGGAAGUGAAACAUACAUUUUGUAUAUAGCCUUUAUGGGUAGUAAUGUGUUGGAUACGCACGGUAUCGCAGGCAUGUUGAGGGGUUUUAAUUUCUUUGUCAUUAAAGAUGGGGGAGAAUGAAAAAGGUGUAAAAAUAAGCUCUCAAUAACUUUUCAACUUUGUGAAAAAAGUGCUGCAUCAAUGUGGUCACUUUCCAUACUCACUCCAUCAUCUGCCAUGUAGUCUGCACUUCCAGACCAGAAAUAUCAACUACUCUUACACAUAGAAAUGUGAACAGAUUUUAGAUGGUCAUUAAGCUCAGUUAGUCUUAAUAGAAAUAAUCUCUAUAUUGUUGCUCAUACAGAUCUCUUUCCUGUAGAACUGACUGGUGUAGGCAUAACAGUAUUUUUAGAGUUUUGUGUGGGAAAUUGCUUGACCCAGUUUGGUAUGUAAAACACAAGAUUGACCCUUUGUGGGAAGAUAAAUGCCUGCCCUUACUGAAAUGAAAGGGUUUGAUGCAGCAGGAGAACUUAAUCCAUGCAAAAGCACAGCAAAGUAACAACAUCCUAUAUUUAUUAGGAGAAAAGCUAGGUAAAUUUAGGGGAAAUCUGAAUUGAUGGCAUCACUUUAUUUUGUGCUUAGUUGCGGCUUUAAUGAUUUUUAAAGAAAAAAAAGUUGUACACAUGUUGGGGAGCACAUUUAAUGCAGCUGAAGUCUAAGAACAAUACUGUAAACAAAGACACCACUUUUAGAACCACAACUGAAAUAUGGUAAUAGAGUAAGUCCCUACCAUUUGUCACAUGACCAAAAAUCCCAGGACAGCACAAACAUUGGUACAUUGUGACUUCUCCUCUUCUCAUCUUUGCAAGCUUGGGGCUAGCUGGCAAAAUUCUCAGUGAGGCUUACUGUGCCAGGGUAUUUUAUGUAUGUUAUGGUGCACAGACCAAGGAGACCAAGGAACACAGCUCUUGGGGCUGUGUCUCAGCCAUUUCCAUUAGUAAUGGCAUGUGCUCUGUGUCUCUUAAUGAAACAGGAAAAUGAAGCUCAGCAUGCCAGAAGAAUGACAAAGUACUAGUGGGGCUGGAUGCUGUCUGCAAGUUCAGAACUCCCCCUGUUUAUGUGUAGUGGUUUAUUGUAAUGUGAGUCUCUUACAGAAAUAGAGACCUGCUCAGAAAACUGUUUGCUGUUCCCUUUACAGUAAGGGAUGGCAGGGGAUUCUGAGGUAAACUACAAAGGAAAAUACAAUUCAAUGUGUUCACUACUGAAAAGAAAACAGGGACUUAUUUAUCUACGUGGGUCUUCUUUAGUACUUUUUAGACAAAUGAAAAAGCUCAUAUUUUUCCUUUCUGCCCAUAUUAACUCAUUUUGUAUAGUCAAAUGACUAUACACCAGCUUCAAUAGGAUUGCUUGUGUAAGAGCUGUUUAUCAUGACAUAGCAAUGGCACCGAGUUUAAGGUGACAUUUAAGAAGUGAUAAGCCAAGAGACCAUAAAAAAGAAACUGUUUUUACAAUAGAAAACUUCCUGUUGUUUAUAAAUGCGAAGAAUUAACUCUAUUGAUUAACUCAACUUUUAGAACAACCUAAUUAGAACAGCUUCUGAUAAGGAAACAGGGAUUAAUGAUUGUUUAUUGGAAUGCAAAUACAGUGAAAAAGAACUAAACACCAGCUGUGAACUCAAGGUAAAAACUUCAAUUUGUGAAUUACAAUUGACAUUGCUCAAAAAACUCCUUUGCAGCUACAGAGCUGAUUAGCACAGGAAGCGAAGGGAGGCCACAGGAGCUGCUGUUUUCUCCUGUUUAUAUAAUGUUAUUAAUGUUGAUGGCUUUUCUCCAGCAAAUGUUUCACAUAAAUCAUGUUUCAUCACUGUGACGGAGUGAUGGCACAAAGGAAUAUUAUAGAUGCCCUGUGAUCUACCUAAAGCUAAUUGCUUGCCUAGGUUUCAUUAGUUUUCAGCUGACAGGAAAAAAAAAAGCUGAAACAUAAAUUUAUGUCCUGAUGUGCGCUUCUCAGAUGGGGGUUAAGAUUUUCAAAUCUCCCUCUCUCUGCACUUACCCAUUCCAUAUCUCUGUAAUGCCCUUUUUCUAUUCUAAUUGCUUCUAUCUCUUCCCAUAUGUAGAGCUGUUUGACACAUCUGACUCCAUCAUUUCCAUCUUCGUGUUGCAGCUGCAGUCUAUCUGUUGAUACCACUCUUUCCUUCUUCCUUCCAAAUCCAUUCAAUCUUCUCAGCUGUAUGAUUGAUUGCUGGAGCUUUCUGUACCCAUUUAGGACUGUCACAGUUCUGUAUUUACUUCAGUACUCUGAUUUUUAACUCUUACCUAAUAUCAGCGUUUCUGGACUUACAGUCCUUACAUUUUGUUUCUUUGUUUUCAAGAAGGACACAUUUCUAAUGAUAUUAUUUGAAAAAAAAAUCAGGGAAGACCUACCUAGCCCAUCCCUAGAUUGUUAUUCCGGGUCUCAGCUACUGCAGGCAGGCUCCUGCACUGUGCUUUCUCCCAAGCAAUCCUCCCUGCCUGUGGCAUGCAGAGGUUGCAGAUGUACAUCUGUGUGUUUCUCAGGGCUCUCAGGACUUCCAGACAGAAUGACAGCUAAGUGGCAUCCACCAGAGCCUACAUAAAACUGCAAGCCUGGGUAGCUCUUAAACUACCAGAAAGGAGCAGUUUGGUUUUCUUUGGCACCUGCUCCUGCUGCACUCCAGCAGUCCUGUGAGGCAGGCCAGAAUCCAUUCACCACGGUGCACUGCUGCGAGCAUGUGUCGUGGAUCGCAGAGUUCCCAGCAGUUCUGGCUGUAUCAGGCCUGCUGGUCUCCUCGCAUGCUUUCAACUGUUUUAUUGUAAUUCCUUCUCACAUCCUGUUUGUUGCCUGCUAUUUUUCUGCUGUUGCAGCUGUUUUUUCCAUUCCUUCCAGUCCACCCAGUUUUGCAGUCCAGCUGUCCCUCCCAGCUGCCAUGGACUCCACCAUCUCCCAAAUUCCACCCUUUCUGCUGCUGCAGGGGCAUCACCCACAGCCUCACUCUCCCUCUGCAGGAAAUAACUAUCAUUCCUGCUGUACUGCACACCAUGGCUAUUGGAGGACAUUAGUUAAAUAACUGAAUUGUCUUGAGACUGAGCACUGUCUAAGGAUUACAGCAUGAUUGUAUUUUUUCUGAGCAAUCAAUUUUAUGUAAUGGGAAACUGCAUCCAAAGCUGGAUCCUAGGAAAAAGCUGUGUCAGAGUUUUAAGUACAUAAUGUUAUCCUAGUCUAGUGCAGCACUAUGCAGAAACUUCACACUUCCAUGAAACAAUCCCUGAAAAGGGCAAAUUUGGCCCAGAAAUAUUGUGUCUGGAUGGUAAUCUCUCUUGAGAAAUCAGUUUCCUUUUCUGCUGAUUACAAACUCUUGGAUUCUGAGAUUCACGUUCCUGUUUCUGGAAGAAAAUCCAUGACCCCAGAUAAUUAAUUUGUUUUAACAGUCAACAGGAAAAUGGAACUGCCAUUUAUCUUUCAGCUUGACUUUGUGUACAGACUCAGGCAAUUAUAUCUCCAUCUUUUAGUUAAUUUUAUCUACUACAGAGUCAGUUAAAUUUGCUUGCAGAUUUCAGUUAUUUCCGGAAAAUCUGCAGGAUAUGAGCAAUUGCUGUUUAUAUAUUAAUCACUGAAAUGUUUUAUCCCGACUUCCUAAGGAAAUAAAGCUUACAUGAGCAAUCCGUAUGUUUAUGUGAAUACUUCUUUAUCUGUUUUUUUUUUUCAUUCUGCUCUGUCUCUAUAGAAUUGACUAAUUUCAACUUAACUGAAAAAAAGCAAAGUUGCUCUUUUAGAGAUUGUAUACUAAUUAGAUGCUUGCCUGCUGCUAAUAGUUACGGAGCUUUUCUCCCUGCAAUAUGAACCUUCCAUACAUUAGACUCAAGAAAAUCUACUCAAAAGCAAUGAGUACCCAAACCAUUAAAAAAUCUUCUGCUAAUGAACGUAAUUUAUGAACAAGGAACCAACAUAAGCAGUUUUGGUGCUCACAGAAUGUCCAGGUUUGUCUGCUUGAUUUUCUUGCCAUCCUGAAUGCUGGACCAUGUGGCAGUAAAUUGGAAAGUGAUUAUCUUAAUGAUUACCUAAACAUUUUAAGUAAAAUUUGACAUUUCAAUUGCCUUUAAGUAUUUAUCUGUAAUGAAAGACAUUUUCUGCUUUUUUCUUUUCAGAUUUAUACAUGUAUUUUUUUUCAUCAGGCCAGGACAUGCUUGUACCUGGAAUUGGCUCAUAUCUACUAGUUUCCACCAAUAAAUGCUAUAAAUUUUUGGUAUGCCAUGAGUGGCAAGACGAAUGUGGGAUAUGACACCAUCUAUACCCUGUGCUGAUCAGAAGAUGUGUCCUCUGAGAACUGACGUCUACAGAUGGAGCAGCCUUCUUUGUCUCUGGAGCAAAUUCACCGAAGUUGCAAGUGGCAGCAGAGGAAGGAAGUAACUGAGAAAUUUGCCAAAAUAAUGACAUUAUGAUUGACUGGAGUAGCUCAGGUGACCCAGAAUAGGAUACAGACUUUGAGGGCAGGCAUGAAUCUUCACUGCUUCUGGAUUUACACAGUCAGAUAUGUGCAGAUAACCCAGGAAUCACCUAUUUCAUGGUUUCAAGAGCUGUGCAGAGACUGAGGCACUCAAGAAACUGGAAUUCAGACUCAGAGGAGUUACAGGACAGUCCUUGUGACAGAAGGCAAAUACCCUAACUUCUUACCAUGGAGAGAUGAUGUACUGCAGUUCAGCAUAAGAAUGAAAGCAUUACAAUAUCAAACAAAAUCUUUUGUUUGAUAAUGUAAGGCAAAACUUGGGGCAAAAAAGGGAGAACAACUGAUUUCCUUGAAAUUUUAUUACCAUAUGUAUUCAAAGUGGUAAUAACAUUGUAGCUGUGAUACUCUCAAAGAUACAGGCAAUUUGUCUUUUUGGGGAAGCUAACUUCGAUGAUAAUUAUUAUUUCAAGGUGUAUAGAAUUGAUGAAAAUACAGACAACUUGGAGAGCACAGAAGUUCCUCUUCACCUGUCCUAUUGACUUCUGUUAUCUGAUUUUUUAAACUUUCACAUGAUCUAAAUGUACCUAUUUUAGAAGUAUAGCUUAGCUUACAAGUGAACAGAUCCUAUUCCUUACUGGCUUGAAUCAGCAUGCUUUAAGGCUGUUAUGGUUUAUUAUUUUUGUUUUGAAAUGCAAAUUCGUGGUCCCACAUGCAGUGAGCCCUGUUGUGUUAGUUCCUACAGAAAUAAAGAAUAAAAGGUGAUGAUAGGCUAAGUUAAUUUGUUUUUCAUCUCAUGCACUGAAGGAGUAACCUUACCAUAUUUUUAGAUGAAUUCUAAAGGUUUGCAAUCAGCACAUACCAUAAUGAUGCCUCAUCUUUGCAUAUAUGCAAAAAUCCCUAAUGUAAGCAUGUACAAGGUUAUUUGAAAAUGCACUGUGAAACCAGAAGGGGCAGUAAGUGCCAUUGCAGUCCAUUUUAGAAGGAUUGCUCUUCUUCCAAGUUCUCAGACUUACUCUGAUAUAUUUCUUAUUCUGAUUUUAUUUCUUUAUAUUUCUUAUUCUGAUUAUCUUUCUUUGUUUCUUUCCAUUAUUCUGAUAUAUUUCUUUCCAAAAGAGAAAUAUUUUUUUUUAGCGCACAUGGAGAGCUUGCCUCUCUAUGUGUCAGGAUUGUAUUUCAACAAAAUAUGAAGAGAACUACACAGUCACAGUCACUUGGGACUUCACUUGCAUAAUAGUAGUUGCAAUGAACAGCCUACUUUCAGGGUAGCAAGUGACAGGAGUGCCACAUAACAUGAACAGAAGAUCUUACUAACAAAAGAGUUAAUUUUCAUGAAGAGGUUCUAAUUUAGAAAUUCUUCACCUCUCAUUUUCAUGCAUGUUGUUGCAGAACUGUCUGGUCUUUUUUAUUUGCAUAUGUUAUAUCUAUUACAUUUAUUUGUAUCCCAGAAGUUGUAAGAAACAGGAUAAAAAAGCCCCUUUUUCUAGUCUAACCUGAUAUUGAGUAUCUUUCAUUGAUAGGGAACAGAUUUAAUUUUAAAAAUCUUAUAAAUCAUCAAAAACUCAUUUCAGUUUGACCAUGAAGGUAUUUAUAUUCUGAUAAAAUUAACUUUAAGAAUUACUUUUGUUAGCAGUGAAAUGUGAUACUCCAUGAUUGACAAUGUUCUCUACACAGAAAGGGAUACUCUUUCUUGAAAAACUUGACAGAAAGUGCAAAGAACUUCAUAUAUCUUCCAAGACAAUGUUUUGCAAACUUUUGAGAAAAAUCUAGUGGCUCCUAGAUUAUGUGCCUAAGGCAUAAUUUUAAAACUAUCAGGUCAGACAAUGUUGUAAUUCAAUAACAACUCCUAAUAACAUAGUAAGAGAUGAAUAUUUGGUGAAAAUAAAAAUAGGUCCUAAUUUUUUUUUAUUGUGUAUGUCAAUCUCUCUUUGCUGUAAUUAUGUCUGGGCUGUUUUUCCAUUUUGAGGCUAAAUGCAAAAUCAGAUUAUAAAUUAGUCCUUCUAAAGAAUACUUACUGGUUAAAUAAAAGCCUAAAACAGUAUGUCUUAGCAGUUAUUUUCUUUUGUAAACAGGAUCAACACAAACAGUGCUGCCAGACGAGAAUGAUUAAUGGUUCAAAACACUAUAGAUCUGCAUUAUGUAAUGCAUCUCAUAUCCUUGAAAUGAGGAUUGUAAUUUGUCAUUGUUGUCUAGAGCUAAAAUUACAACAGGUAAUUUGCAAGAAUAGAUUGUAGUGUUUUAUAAUUGCUUUUUUAAAUUCAUAUGGUCUUAUAUUUGAAUAAAUAUUAGAUCUCAGAGCAAUGCAUUAAUUUUCUGUAUAGUGACGUGCAAUGGCUGGAAAAUCAAUUAUGCUUUUUAUUUUUAGCUAAAAUGACCUCUAUCAUAUUUCUCAUAUGGUGUGGUACCCUAUAGGUAGUACCAGAAUACAAGCACAUUCCUCCCACCGAGAAGUACUAAUUUUCUACUUUUAUUUCUUUAUCUCUACUCAGCCAUGGGAUUGGCAGGGUUCACAGCUAACCCUUGAGGUUAGAGCACAUUCUGACUGCUCAUGGGAAUUACUUUUUGGUCUGUUGUCAGCAUGCCCUUACAGGGGGCUGUUUUCUCAUGGGCCUUCUCCAGCACCUCUCCUUGCCACUACUGUGUGCCGCUCUUUCAAACAAUGGCCUUGGCUCAUUCCAGAUAUAUGGUUUAUUGUAGGCUGUUGAGUUCAUUAAAAGGCACAUGAUAAUUCAUAAUAAAAGAAUUUCUCUCUCUGAACCUCUCUGUACUCAAUUAUAGAAUUGCAAAAAAAGAAAAAAUCAUGUAAGAGAUGCCAGAUAGAAAAACUUGAUUCACAGCAGUUUGUUUAUUUGGGGUGUUGUUGUUGUUAUUGUUGUGGGAAUGUGCUAAGAAACCAACAUUUUGUGUUGUGAUAUGGUCAAAUGUGCUGUAAUUGUCUGAAUGAGAAAUUCCAUUAAAUCACUGACUUGUGGUUCUGGAAUUGCUCAGUGACCUCAACUGCUGGACGACAGCUGUAGCCUGCCUUCUUUAUUUACUGAUGCUGGCUCAUAAAUGUAUCUUGCUAGCUUGGACAACAGAGACAAGUCCCUUGUGGUCCACUUUGUUGAACUUGACUGAGGAAUGUCUGCCCCUGCAAAGAAAAAUAUUUGGUUUCCAACAGAGAACUAGAAGUUUCUGUGCCAAAUGGGACAGUGUUUGGAACAAGCUAGAAUAGAAUGGAAAGAAGAUUACAUUGUCAUGCUAGGACUUAAAGUUACUAUGUAGGUACCUAAAAUUGAAAUACAUCCAUACAGUUACUUAUUUACUGUCAAUGUUCUCCCUUUUCAAUCAGUGUUAAUUGCAUGAAACUAAUGUAUAGUCAUUCCUUAGUAUUUUCUUUAAAAAAAUAUAGGCACAUUUCCUUAAAUAGGCAGCAAUAUGGUCACAUCAAACUGUUUAAAAGAAGACAAGUGCAUGUCACAUCAGUCUUCAAAGACUCUACAGGGUCCUGCAAAAAUUCAUAGUAGCCAGAGCUAAAUGCCUUUGUAUGUAGUGUCACAUGUACAUUUAAAGUACAGUCUGGAGGUACUCUGUGUCUGCCGCCUGUCUCAAAGAUGUGAGAACUUAUUCACUAUUAAGAAUAAAUAUAUUUUAUGGUUUUUAGUUCAGAACCAGCAUAUAUGAAUCAAGGAAAACUGUUGUCAUUUGAUGAUGACUUCAGGGUUGACUUUUAGUCACUCCCUUCCAAACACACAUCCAUUCCAUAUAUGUAUAUAUGUGUGUAUGAGUGCACAUAUAUAUACACAUGUGUUGGCAGUGGUACUCAGCACUUGCUCUUGAUAAAAUGUUUCAUUAUCUGUCCCUGCAUAAUUCAUUUCAGUUAGCACAAUAUAGACUUAGAGGUUCAGAAAUGGAAAGAGAUAGGAAAAUAAAAGAAUGCACAUUUUCAGUGAAGACAUCUGUGUGGUUCUAUACAAAAAUUUUACAUGACUGAGUUGAAAAAGGGCACAGAGAACACUGUAAAGGUAAGCUAUAGAAUUUAAUGCAAUGUCAUAAAUUUGUUGUAUUUUAUUAAUUUUUUUUGAUAUUACAUGAGGAAGUAAUGGUCACAUUAUAUAAUCUCGUGAGAUAAUGUCAAAAAUAAAAAAGAUGCAUGC